GACGAACGCUGGCGGCGUGCUUAACACAUGCAAGUCGAACGGAAAGGCCCUGCUUUUGUGGGGUGCUCGAGUGGCGAACGGGUGAGUAACACGUGAGUAACCUGCCCUUGACUUUGGGAUAACUUCAGGAAACUGGGGCUAAUACCGGAUAGGAGCUCCUGCUGCAUGGUGGGGGUUGGAAAGUUUCGGCGGUUGGGGAUGGACUCGCGGCUUAUCAGCUUGUUGGUGGGGGAGUGGCUUACCAAGGCUUUGACGGGUAGCCGGCCUGAGAGGGUGACCGGCCACAUUGGGACUGAGAGACGGACCAGACUCCUACGGGAGGCAGCAGUGGGGAAUAUUGCACAAUGGGGGGAAGCCUGAUGCAGCAACGCCGCGUGCGUGAUGACGUCCUUCGGGUUGUAAACCGCUUUCGCCUGUUACGAAGCGUUAGUGACGGUAAUGGGUAAAGAAGCACCGGCUAACUACGUG
rnacentral:rRNA from 1 species